rnacentral:rRNA from 1 species
GAUGAACGCUGGCGGCGUGCCUAAUACAUGCAAGUCGAGCGAACAGACGAGGAGCUUGCUCCUCUGACGUUAGCGGCGGACGGGUGAGUAACACGUGUAUAACCUACCUAUAAGACUGGGAUAACUUCGGGAAACCGGAGCUAAUACCGGAUAACAUGUUGAACCGCAUGGUUCAACAGUGAAAGACGGUCUUGCUGUCACUUAUAGAUGGAUCCGCGCCGCAUUAGCUAGUUGGUAAGGUAACGGCUUACCAAGGCAACGAUGCGUAGCCGACCUGAGAGGGUGAUCGGCCACACUGGAACUGAGACACGGUCCAGACUCCUACGGGAGGCAGCAGUAGGGAAUCUUCCGCAAUGGGCGAAAGCCUGACGGAGCAACGCCGCGUGAGUGAAGAAGGUCUUCGGAUCGUAAAACUCUGUUAUUAGGGAAGAACAAAUGUGUAAGUAACUAUGCACGUCUUGACGGUACCUAAUCAGAAAGCCACGGCUAACUACGUG